AACCAGUGAUACUGAACCAGGGUGCUAUGGUUGAGGUUGAUGACAACAAGAAAUUGGGCGAGUGGGUAGGUCUCUGCAAAACUGACAGAGAAGGAAAACCCCGCAAAGUAGUGGGCUGCAGUUGUGUGGUUGUCAAAGACUAUGGCAAGGAAUCUCAGGCCAAAGAUGUCAUCGAAGAGUACUUCAAAUGCAAAAAAUGAACUAAAAAAUAAAAACGUUUUUCAGAUUGAUAAA